AUGGCGGCACCCCAGAGCCCACAGAUCUGGGCGACCUCGACCUCGACCUGCACCGUGGAGAGGGCGGGGGGCGCGCACUUGUUUAGGAUCGACGGCUACAGCCUGUCCAAGGGCCUCGGCAAGGGCAACUUCAUCCCGUCGGCCACCUUCGCCGUCGGCGGCCACGACUGGCGCCUCCUCUUCUACCCCGACGGCGACACAGAGGCAAGAAACGGCUCCAUCUCGGUCCACCUCGAGCUCAUGGACGAGGGCGUGGAGGUGAGGGCGCUGUACGAUCUGACGCUGUUCAAGCAAGCCGAACCGAAGUCGGGGUGCUUGAUGUGGACAAAACCGACGGAGCCGGUGGUGUUCAGCCGCUCCCCUGGUAAAACCUCGCACCGGGGCCAUUCCAAUUUCGCGGGGAGGAGCAUGCUCGAAGCUUGGUCGUACUUGAACUUCCCCCGCGACGUCCUUAUCGUUAAUUGCAAGCUCCUUGUUAUCAAGCUCAAGGAAGCACAGAUGCCAAAAACCAGAAUGAACUUUGAGACCAUCCAAGUGCCGCCUUCAGACCUAUCGCAUAAUCUUGGAAGUUUGCUAGAGGCGGGGGAGGAAUCGGAUGUGUCUUUCAAGGUCAAAGAUGAGGUUUUCACUGCCCAUAAAAUCGUCCUUGCAAUGCGGUCGCCGGUCUUCAAGGCGGAGCUCUAUGGGCCGAUGAGGGGCAAGUGCGGGCAGAGCAUAGCCAUUGAAGACAUGGAGCCCGCUGUUUUCAAAGCGCUGCUUCACUUUAUCUACACAGAUGAGUUGCCGCCCAUGGACGACCUUGAUGGUGAUGAUGACAAAGAAGAAAUGGUCAAGCAUUUGCUCGUGGCUUCGGAUAGGUAUGCCAUGGAAAGGAUGAAGUUGAUGUGCGAGAGAAAACUUUGCAAGUUUCUUGAUGCCAAGACUGUGGCGGCCACGUUAGCUCUUGCGGACCAGUAUCAUUGCAGCAAGCUCAAAGAUGCCUGCAUUGGAUUUAUCAACUCUUUGGACAGAAUGGAUGAAGUGAUGACUAGUACAGGGUAUCAACACCUGAAAAGAGCAUGUCCUACUAUCUGUAUUGAUAUAUGGGAGAAAGCCGCCAAGGCUCGCAAAAUAUAG
rnacentral:rRNA from 1 species